CCUACGGGAGGCAGCAGUGAGGAAUAUUGGUCAAUGGGCGGAAGCCUGAACCAGCCAAGUAGCGUGCGGGAUGAAGGCCCUACGGGUCGUAAACCUCUUUUGCACGGGGAUAACACCCGCCACUUGUGGAGGUCUGCAGGUACCGUGCGAAUAAGGCCCGGCUAAUCCCGUGCCAGCAGCCGCGGUAAUACGGAAGGCCCGAGCGUUAUCCGGAUUCAUUUGGGUUAAAGGGAGCGUAGGCGGGAGGUGAAGUCAGCUGUAAAAUGGCGCGGCUCAACCGCGCCCCGCAGUUGAAACUGGACGCCUUGAGUGAACGAGAGGCAUGCGGAAUGCGUGGUGUAGCGGUGAAAUGCAUAGAUAUCACGCGGAACCCCGAUUGCGAAGGCAGCAUGCCGGGGUGCGACUGACGCUGAGGCACGAAGGUGCGGGGAUCAAACAGGAUUAGAUACCCUAGUAGUC
rnacentral:rRNA from 1 species